rnacentral:rRNA from 1 species
CAGUAGCCGCGGUAAUACGGAGGGGGCUAGCGUUGUUCGGAAUUACUGGGCGUAAAGCGUACGUAGGCGGCUUUGUAAGUUAGAGGUGAAAGCCCGGGGCUCAACCCCGGAACUGCCUUUAAGACUGCAUCGCUUGAAUCGCGGAGAGGUGAGUGGAAUUCCGAGUGUAGAGGUGAAAUUCGUAGAUAUUCGGAAGAACACCAGUGGCGAAGGCGGCUCACUGGACGCGUAUUGACGCUGAGGUACGAAAGCGUGGGGAGCAAACAGGAUUAGAUACCCCUGUAGUCCCUGUCUCUUAUAC